rnacentral:rRNA from 1 species
GACGAACGCUGGCGGCGUGCUUAACACAUGCAAGUCGAACGAGAGCGUAGAGAAAGCUUGCUUUUUCUACAAUCUAGUGGCAAACGGGUGAGUAACGCGUAAACAACCUGCCCUCCGGAUGGGGACAACAGCUGGAAACGGCUGCUAAUACCGAAUACGUUCCGAAAGUCGCAUGACUGUCGGAAGAAAGGAUGGCCUCUAUUUAUAAGCUAUCGCCGGAGGAGGGGUUUGCGUCUGAUUAGCUAGUUGGAGGGGUAACGGCCCACCAAGGCGACGAUCAGUAGCCGGUCUGAGAGGAUGAACGGCCACAUUGGAACUGAGACACGGUCCAGACUCCUACGGGAGGCAGCAGUGGGGAAUCUUCCGCAAUGGGCGAACAGCCUGACGGAGCAAC